GUGGAUGUAGCUCAGUUGGUAGAGCCCCGGAUUGUGAUUCCGGUUGUCGUGGGUUCGAGUCCCAUCAUUCACCCCA
rnacentral:tRNA from 5 species